AGGGAUAGACAUUCCCAAAAUAAGAUCAACAACUGAGCUUUAUAAUUCUAACAUGAGCACACGUAUCAUUUCAGGCUCUCCCAGGACCCCUAGGUGUCAUAAAAGAAGAAAAGACCAAUUCAUCAACAGUGCUUUCAGGGUGGGCUCAGUAGCUCACAGCUGUAAUCCCAGCACUUUGAGAGACCAAGGUGGAAGUAUUGCUUGAGGCUAGAAGUUUGAGAUAAGCCUGGCCAACAUAGCAAGACCUCCAUCUCUAUAAAACAAGACAAAAGAAAAAAGACAAAAAAAAAAAAAAAAAAAAAAAAGGAUUGCUUUCAUUUUCCCAGAAGGGGCUGCACUUUGAAAUAAAAAGUAGUUUGAAUUCCAUGCCUGUCUUAGUCCAUUUUGUGUUGCUACAGCAGAAUACCUGGGUAAUUUACCAUGAACAGAAAUUUAUGUUCUCACAGUUCUGGAGGCUGGGAAGUCCAAGAUCAAGGCUCUGGC
rnacentral:lncRNA from 1 species